rnacentral:lncRNA from 1 species
AUGCAUCUUCUCUUAAAAAUUUUGAUUUGCUCGUUGAAUGAUUACAAAUGGACUAGAGAGCAUCCAACAGGAUCAUUAUGUCAGACCUUAGUCCAUCCCAAAUUAUUCUUGGUGGAAGCCCUGAAGAGUCAAUGGUGGCGAGGUUUGGGAACCUCCGGGGUUAAGGGUCACCUGGAGGAUUGGAUACAUGGCAGAUUACUGCUUUUUGCAGUUACAGGUUCUCUCCUGGCUAGAGGAGGAAUGCGAGAUGGUCUGUGGAAUGACAGGGUAAACUCCUGGUCCGGGGUUCGUCUCCAGAAUCAAACCGUCUGGGAGCACUGCCCGGGAAUCUGCACUGAGACAAGAACCUUGGUGAUCCUUCUAAGCAAAGGUAUGAGAGCGCCAUGCUGCUGAGGAACAGAUGGAGGCCACCUCCGCAGGCGGCAAGGAGGAAGACAGUGGUCCCAUUUUCUUAGUAGUAUUGCUUCAAAGAGAAAUGGUAUUGUUUUCAUGCUUAACCCCAGCUCUCAUAAAUUAAAUUUGCCUGGCAUUGUUAAAGUAUUUAGGGACUCUAUGUUAACACAACACACUUUCUUAAAUAUUCGUGUGCAUCUGUCUUAGUUGGGCUCUCAGUAUUUAAGGGCAGCUCAUGUCUUACUUGUCUUUCUGGAGCCAUGCCUCACAGCAUCUGCCCCUUAUAUACAUCCCCUAAAGGACUGACAUUUGUGUGUUGGAAGGGACAUCUUCAUGAGAAAUGCCAGCUGAUCUUCAUGUUAGUUACCUUUGGUUUAAAAGCCUAUUUUUUUCCACCCAAGAUGAGAUGAAAACUUUGACUUCUUUAUUCUACAUCUUGAAAAAAAUCCAGGUGCUAGAGGCUGAUUGUAUAUCUUUUCUACAACCUGAAUUUCCACACGUACAGUAACACCCCCACAUCACUUUGCCUACAUCAAGUUUGGGUGUUUGAAUGCCAGCUGAUGAGUGCUGAUUUUAAACUCUCCUGCUUAAAAUUUAUUUAUUUAUUUUUCCCUGAGAGUGCUCACUUUCUGGUUCCCAGUAGUUGGAUUUCUCUUUCUAUUCUGGUGGGCCUAAAAGCCUCAGAAAUGCUUUUGUUUGUGCGUUGUUUAGAGAAGGGGAAGAAAUGACUGGCUUUUAUCUACAAUCUAUGUCCGAUAAAGAUUGCUUUGCCAUAAAAGAAGCAAACAAUAAAAAACCACAAGUGCAAGAUGCUAAGUCUUAAAGUAUUCCCACUGAACCAAACCAAACCAAAACAAGUUGGUGUAGAGAGUUGACAG